rnacentral:rRNA from 1 species
UACGUAGGGUGCAAGCGUUGUCCGGAUUUAUUGGGCGUAAAGAGCUCGUAGGCGGCUUGUCGCGUCGACUGUGAAAUCCCGCGGCUCAACUGCGGGUCUGCAGUCGAUACGGGCAGGCUAGAGUUCGGUAGGGGAGACUGGAAUUCCUGGUGUAGCGGUGAAAUGCGCAGAUAUCAGGAGGAACACCCGAUGGCGAAGGCAGGUCUCUGGGCCGAUACUGACGCUGAGGAGCGAAAGCGUGGGGAGCGAACAGG